rnacentral:rRNA from 1 species
GACGAACGCUGGCGGCGUGCUUAACACAUGCAAGUCGAACGGAAAGGCCCUGCUUUUGUGGGGUGCUCGAGUGGCGAACGGGUGAGUAACACGUGAGUAACCUGCCCUUGACUUUGGGAUAACUUCAGGAAACUGGGGCUAAUACCGGAUAGGAGCUCCUGCUGCAUGGUGGGGGUUGGAAAGUUUCGGCGGUUGGGGAUGGACUCGCGGCUUAUCAGCUUGUUGGUGGGGUAGUGGCUUACCAAGGCUUUGACGGGUAGCCGGCCUGAGAGGGUGACCGGCCACAUUGGGACUGAGAUACGGCCCAGACUCCUACGGGAGGCAGCAGUGGGGAAUAUUGCACAAUGGGCGGAAGCCUGAUGCAGCAACGCCGCGUGCGGGAUGACGGCCUUCGGGUUGUAAACCGCUUUCGCCUGUGACGAAGCGUGAGUGACGGUAAUGGGUAAAGAAGCACCGGCUAACUACGUGCCAGCAGCCGCGGUGAUACGUAGGGUGCGAGCGUUGUCCGGAUUUAUUGGGCGUAAAGGGCUCGUAGGUGGUUGAUCGCGUCGGAAGUGUAAUCUUGGGGCUUAACCCUGAGCGUGCUUUCGAUACGGGUUGACUUGAGGAAGGUAGGGGAGAAUGGAAUUCCUGGUGGAGCGGUGGAAUGCGCAGAUAUCAGGAGGAACACCAGUGGCGAAGGCGGUUCUCUGGGCCUUUCCUGACGCUGAGGAGCGAAAGCGUGGGGAGCGAACAGGCUUAGAUACCCUGGUAGUCCACGCUGUAAACGGUGGGUACUAGGUGUGGGGUCCAUUCCACGGGUUCCGUGCCGUAGCUAACGCUUUAAGUACCCCGCCUGGGGAGUACGGCCGCAAGGCUAAAACUCAAAGGAAUUGACGGGGCCCCGCACAAGCGGCGGAGCAUGCGGAUUAAUUCGAUGCAACGCGUAGAACCUUACCUGGGUUUGACAUGGAUCGGGAGCGCUCAGAGAUGGGUGUGCCUCUUUUGGGGUCGGUUCACAGGUGGUGCAUGGCUGUCGUCAGCUCGUGUCGUGAGAUGUUGGGUUAAGUCCCGCAACGAGCGCAACCCUUGUUCACUGUUGCCAGCACGUUAUGGUGGGGACUCAGUGGAGACCGCCGGGGUCAACUCGGAGGAAGGUGGGGAUGACGUCAAGUCAUCAUGCCCCUUAUGUCCAGGGCUUCACGCAUGCUACAAUGGCUGGUACAGAGAGUGGCGAGCCUGUGAGGGUGAGCGAAUCUCGGAAAGCCGGUCUCAGUUCGGAUUGGGGUCUGCAACUCGACCUCAUGAAGUCGGAGUCGCUAGUAAUCGCAGAUCAGCAACGCUGCAGUGAAUACGUUCCCGGG